rnacentral:rRNA from 1 species
CCUACGGGAGGCAGCAGUGGGGAAUAUUGCACAAUGGGGGAAACCCUGAUGCAGCGACGCCGCGUGAGUGAAGACGUCCUUCUUUAUGUAAAACUCUUUUUGCAGGGAGGAAAAUUACGGUACCUGAGUAAUAUUCCCCGGCUAACUACGUUCCAGCAGCCGCGGUAAUACGGAGGGGGCAAGCGUUAUCCGGAUUUACUGGGUGUAAAGGGAGCGUAGGCGGCAGUGCAAGUCUGGAGUGAAAGGCGGGGGCUCAACCCUCGGAUUGCUGUGGAAACUGUACGGCUGGAGUGCAGGAGAGGUAGGUGGAAUUCGUAGUGUAGCGGUGAAAUGCUUAGAUAUCAGGAAGAACACCAGUGGCGAAGGCAGCUUACUGGACUGUAACUGACGCUGAGGCUCGAAAGCGUGGGGAGCAAACAGGAUUAGAUACCCGGGUAGUC